UACUUUAGUUUAAGUUAAGCAUAUAAGUGUAUAUUUUUUAUAUACAUGUACCUGUUAGCAAGAGAAUCGGGCAAUGUUCGUUUGUAGAAUAGAAAAUAAUUGCGGUUUAUUAUAAGAUUCGACAAUUACAGAGGCCGGUGGCAAUAUUUUAACUUUUUUUUUCCUUUGCAGGCCUCCUGGAUUCCGGAAGACAAACUUCCUCCCGAGCGAAAAAAUGUGUUGAUAUAAUACGAUUCAGAUUCAUGUUUGAGUGUAGAUAGAUUAAAAUAAGAACAUUUAAUAUUGUUUUAGUGGUAUAAUGAAGAGUGACAUUCCGUGCUUCAUUGAGGAAAGAAAGUAGGUCUGUUCUUCUUUUAAAACUGUUUAAUAAGUGCCUUAUUUAUGGUAUAUACCCCAAUUGACUGACCAAUGGAUAUAUAAUACCCCUUCACGAGGAGGUGAUCCAAGUAUUCCUACAAACCAUUAACAUUAUUCAGGAAUCUAGCUAACUAGUAACAUAGAUAACCAGUGCGCGGUACAUGUGUACCAUAUGGAUGGGAAGGACAACACAUUAAAAAACUCACAAUGAAUGUGACGUAUAAAGGUACUAAGCAGUAAAUUAUGUCAGAGAAGAGAGAUUGCGAAGGAACAACGGAAGAUGAGGGAGAUGACAUUAAAAGAAAACGACUGGAUACGAACGCCUUUGCUGGAACAAGAAGCAACAUAUCUGAUGAUACUAGUAACGACAUUUCUGAUGAUACAAGUAGUGAGUAUGACAAAGAUUCGUUAUCAGAUUUAACAAGGAAUCAGCUUGUCGUUCUCUAGACCCUGUACCUGGGUUUUGAUGAUUUCCAAGUUUAUAUCAAUCUGGAUGAUGAUGAAGUCACUAUGGGAGAGAUUGAUGUCAGGAAGACACUGGAGGAGCUGGAGGACAGGGGACUGAUGAGACGUGUCAGAGAAAUAUUUAACAUUGACAGAACUAUGUAUACUCUCACAAUGGACAAACUUAAUGAGAUAAGUCAAUCUUACAUAGAGAACUGUCUACUGAGUGACAUAGACAGAGACUUCUUCAUAGACGUGGCCGGCUAUUCCCCCUUACAUUAUUGGUGUACAACACAAGACCGUAUCAUUAACCGUGAUAUUUCAAACCCACAAGCCAGUAGAUCUAUAACAUUCAUGAGAUUGAUGAUUGAGGGGUGGAUGGACGUGGUAGAAGCUAUUAUAGCAGGUACGUAUACUUCAGUUAUUUAUGUAAAGCUAGAUGUUAUAUAUAUAAAGUAAUUACAUUUGAAUCUGCAACAUAUACUACUAUAUGAAAACAUUUGAUUACAGUAUUUUUCAACAGUUCAGUUGAUUAGGCAUAUUGAUUUUGAUAUUUGCAUGCAACGAAUAUAGUUAAAGGAUAAAAUGCCUUUACUUUUUCCCAAGGACCCCCCCCCCCCUCGAAUUCUAUCUAAAUCUACAAUGACUUUGAUAGUUUAUAACAAGAGUGAAUAACAAAGACACCUUAUGAACAGUUUUCAACAGUCUGGAUACUUUAUAAUUAUGAGGAAUGCUGUAAAUUCCUUAUUUUUCGCGAUUACUUAUCAUCACAAAAUCCCAUCUUAUCAUAUGCAUCAAAUGGCGAAAACAAUGAAAUAGAGAGUAG